rnacentral:rRNA from 1 species
AUUGAACGCUGGCGGCAUGCCUUACACAUGCAAGUCGAACGACGCUAGGGGCAACUCUAGCGAGUGGCGUACGGGUGAGUAAUGCAUCGGAACGUGCCCUCUCGUGGGGGAUAACCAGUCGAAAGAUUGGCUAAUACCGCAUGAGCUCGAGAGAGGAAAGCGGGGGACCGCAAGGCCUCGCGCGAGAGGAGCGGCCGAUGCCCGAUUAGCUAGUUGGUGGGGUAAUGGCCCACCAAGGCGACGAUCGGUAGCUGGUCUGAGAGGACGACCAGCAACACUGGGACUGAGACACGGCCCAGACUCCUACGGGAGGCAGCAGUGGGGAAUUUUGGACAAUGGGGGCAACCCUGAUCCAGCCAUGCCGCGUGUGUGAAGAAGGCCUUCGGGUUGUAAAGCACUUUCGGACGGAACGAAAUCGCGCGGGUGAACAAUCCGCGUGGAUGACGGUACCGUAAGAAGAAGCACCGGCUAACUACGUGCCAGCAGCCGCGGUAA